rnacentral:rRNA from 1 species
AAUGGGUCAGCGACUUAUAUUCUGUAGCAAGGUUAACCGAAUAGGGGAGCCGAAGGGAAACCGAGUCUUAACUGGGCGUUAAGUUGCAGGGUAUAGACCCGAAACCCGGUGAUCUAGCCAUGGGCAGGUUGAAGGUUGGGUAACACUAACUGGAGGACCGAACCGACUAAUGUUGAAAAAUUAGCGGAUGACUUGUGGCUGGGGGUGAAAGGCCAAUCAAACCGGGAGAUAGCUGGUUCUCCCCGAAAGCUAUUUAGGUAGCGCCUCGUGAAUUCAUCUCCGGGGGUAGAGCACUGUUUCGGCAAGGGGGUCAUCCCGACUUACCAACCCGAUGCAAACUGCGAAUACCGGAGAAUGUUAUCACGGGAGACACACGGCGGGUGCUAACGUCCGUCGUGAAGAGGGAAACAACCCAGACCGCCAGCUAAGGUCCCAAAGUCAUGGUUAAGUGGGAAACGAUGUGGGAAGGCCCAGACAGCCAGGAUGUUGGCUUAGAAGCAGCCAUCAUUUAAAGAAAGCGUAAUAGCUCACUGGUCGAGUCGGCCUGCGCGGAAGAUGUAACGGGGCUAAACCAUGCACCGAAGCUGCGGCAGCGACGCUUAUGCGUUGUUGGGUAGGGGAGCGUUCUGUAAGCCUGUGAAGGUGUACUGUGAGGUAUGCUGGAGGUAUCAGAAGUGCGAAUGCUGACAUAAGUAACGAUAAAGCGGGUGAAAAGCCCGCUCGCCGGAAGACCAAGGGUUCCUGUCCAACGUUAAUCGGGGCAGGGUGAGUCGACCCCUAAGGCGAGGCCGAAAGGCGUAGUCGAUGGGAAACAGGUUAAUAUUCCUGUACUUGGUGUUACUGCGAAGGGGGGACGGAGAAGGCUAUGUUGGCCGGGCGACGGUUGUCCCGGUUUAAGCGUGUAGGCUGGUUUUCCAGGCAAAUCCGGAAAAUCAAGGCUGAGGCGUGAUGACGAGGCACUACGGUGCUGAAGCAACAAAUGCCCUGCUUCCAGGAAAAGCCUCUAAGCAUCAGGUAACAUCAAAUCGUACCCCAAACCGACACAGGUGGUCAGGUAGAGAAUACCAAGGCGCUUGAGAGAACUCGGGUGAAGGAACUAGGCAAAAUGGUGCCGUAACUUCGGGAGAAGGCACGCUGAUAUGUAGGUGAAGUCCCUCGCGGAUGGAGCUGAAAUCAGUCGAAGAUACCAGCUGGCUGCAACUGUUUAUUAAAAACACAGCACUGUGCAAACACGAAAGUGGACGUAUACGGUGUGACGCCUGCCCGGUGCCGGAAGGUUAAUUGAUGGGGUCAGCGCAAGCGAAGCUCUUGAUCGAAGCCCCGGUAAACGGCGGCCGUAACUAUAACGGUCCUAAGGUAGCGAAAUUCCUUGUCGGGUAAGUUCCGACCUGCACGAAUGGCGUAAUGAUGGCCAGGCUGUCUCCACCCGAGACUCAGUGAAAUUGAACUCGCUGUGAAGAUGCAGUGUACCCGCGGCAAGACGGAAAGACCCCGUGAACCUUUACUAUAGCUUGACACUGAACAUUGAGCCUUGAUG